rnacentral:lncRNA from 1 species
CACACGGAAAGGCAGGGAGGCUCUGCCUGACCCCACCGCCUCCUCCACCCUCCGGUUUGAUUUGCAUUUGAGAACGGGACUCAGACCCCGCUGGCUGCCGGGACUCCUGCCGGAGACAGGCUCAGGGCAUCUGCAGUUCUCAGUGUGGGAAACGCUGCCUGGGUCCUUCCCCUGCACCCACAGAAAGUGCCCAAGGUGCCCCGGGCACCAGCUCGCCCGCUUGUGCAGGGAGGGCUGGGCCGGAAGUUAGAGGCGAACACUGCAGGAUAAUGGGUGAUUGGACCAUGUUAUUCUUACUUCUAGCAACAGUGAAAAUAAUUCUGAAGCAAAGCAAGCAGAAGACAGAGUUAAUAGCAGGAAUAUCUGUCCAGGCCCUAGGAAGGCUCCGAUCCCAACUUUCCCCAUUACGUGGGUGGUAACGUGAGACACGGCAGCAGUGGGAUUGAGGCCGGGGCCCAACACUGAGAUACAUUCCUGUUCGUUUUUAAAAAGCUUGCGAUGCAGGUUCUGGCUAAGUCACUAAAUUGCCCUAGCUGGGCUAGAACUCGAGAUCCUUCUGCUGCAGCCUCCCAGAGCACAAGAUUACAGCCAUUUGGGAUGCUUCUGACAUCUGUGGAGACCACAGUGCUGCAGCGAUGGUCUUGUCCGUUUGUCCUUCGUACUCACGCCGGCCCCUCUGCAGCUGGUUCCUUGGCGUGGAAGUGCGGGGCCCAGCAGAUGCGCUUGGAUCUGUGGUGCGGAUACCCGAGGCUCCCUGGCUCACCAGGGCCUCCUCCAAUGGAUGCAGUGCCAAGGACGGACCGAACGGUUUGGAAGGAGAAGCGCUGUCACUGUUGCAGUGUCUAAGCUGGACGCUAACAAGAAGAAGAGACCAGGCAUCCAUGUCCAGGACCGCUCUGUCCACCCCGGUGGGCUGUGGCCAAGACCUGGCUGGGACUUCAGUGACCUGUCCCUUGUAGGAAAUUUGCAAGACCUUCCACUGCAAAUGUUUCAUGCCUGCUGGAUGAGGUGGUGCAGUAAGCCCAGCAGCGGAUGGCUGCUGCUCACCCACCCAUGGCC